CGUUCACAUUCGUCAAUGUCUGAAAGGUAAAAACGUGAGAUUCAUUAAAGCACCCUGAGGAAAACACGUUCACACAUAUAGUACGGGAGAAGGGCCCCUAGAAGUCAGGUGUGUGCCGUAAACGUAAAGACACACCCAAUCAGAAAUGGGAAAAGCUUUAUCUUUUGCUUCAAUGUAAAAAUUAAGUAACUUUUACUGUCACUGCAGUAAACCACUGAAAAAUUUUCAUGUACAAGAUGAUAGCUCACAAGAGGUGAUCAAUAUAACUCUUCCCUUAUAUCACCAUAGACCUGGGUUCAUACACUGUUGUCAGUUAUUUUAGUGUUUAUGGCUUGAACCCAACUACAAAAAAUUUUCUUAAAACUCCCGAAUGUUUACAAUUGGAAUGUCCAACCUCUGGCCCUUGGCUACAUGCAGCCCAAGACAGUUAUAAGUCCAGCCCAGCUCACUGUAGGGACAAUCCCCUGUUGCAAAGUGAAAAGGCUGGACCCCCUACAGUGGCAGCAUCUUAAGUGCCAUAAGUCACUCACGUGAAAUAGUGACCCAAACAUUUUUCAGUAUCACAACUCUAAGACACAGCUCUCAUGGAACUGGCAAGGCAGAAUACAAACUUAGGGCCAGCACAAGGCUAAUUGUUUUAAAUAAAUGCAUCCUGGGUAGUCUGUGUGCUGCUUCCAGCCUGGGGAAGGGAUUCUGUAGCCCUUCGUUCUCGGCACACGCCCUGUCGAGGGUGCUGCCAUAGCCUUGAAGCCAGCAGAGGCACAGCAGACGAGUAUAUACAGUUGUCAGGUUCCAGGCCAGCCAGGAGGGUCUGGCCAUGCUUACCCAUGCAAUUCUUCAUCAUCAUGAAGCCGCUCUCGUAGCCCUCAAAGCACUCGCAGUCAAAGCUGCCUGGCGUGUUGACACAGAUGCCACUGCCACAGAGGUCAGGGGAGAUCCUGCACUCAUCAAUGUCUGCCCACGAGUUCAAAAGAAAAGAAAAAAAGAAAAACACAGAAUGAGGUAAGAGAGUGCUGGAGGGACGGGGCCUUCUAGGAGAGGGUGCUGCACAUUUGAAACUUUGGGAAAUCAGGGCUGAGAGUAGCAAGAAAUGUUCUGAAGAGAUAGGGACGAGGGGGACCAGGCCUUCAUCAGGCACAUUCCUUUCUCCAACUGUCAAAACUGUCAUGGUCAACCGGCAGGUGGGGCCUGUGUGUCUUUGAGUUCUGAAAUGUGGCCUUCUCUUUGUGGCUUAGAUGUAGUAACAGAGAAGAAACCACACGACUCCUACGUGGCCCAAGUGAGGAGACAGUGAGUUCACAUGGGAGGAAGCCACAGGUGGGCUCUCACUGGCCUGAAGCAUCCUAUGAGGACCUCACAGAGAUCCACCUGCCUUUAUCUGUCAAAUGCUGAAUGAGAUUCCAGCGCACCAGGCUCAUUGUCUUUUUGAUGAACUAUAAUUGAAGUCUUCAUUAGCAAUGGACAAUUUGCACUUUGGUAGGCCCAGUUGCAGUUUCCGAUUUCAAUUUUUAUUUAUUUCUCCAGUCACCAGCCACACCCAAAACUUGACACGAAUGGCCCUGCGAUUUCUGGUGACUGGUGUUCAGCCUCCUAUGGGGAACAAGUGAACCCUGUGGUAAGCAGGGCCCAGCUUUGGGUCAAUAUAAACUCGUAGGAGCACCACAUGGUACAAGUAUGGACUCUGUGACAAGACGCCCAAGGACAGCCCAGUCUUUCAUCUUUCAUGGUUUUGGAAAAAUCCAAUCAUUUUCUUCAUCUUAUUUUUCCUAUCUACAGCAGGGCUCAUCUCCAGAACGAAGGGAGUCAAGCAUCAAACACGGCACAUACACAUUGCUAUAUAAGCAUGAUCCAUUCCCUGCUAGGAGCUGGCAUUUUGAAAGGCAAGGCUUUCAUACUGAACCCGAAGGUUGUAUAGAAAUUCUAACUUUCAAGAUGUGGAAUCAAUCGCUGGACAAGCGGAGACAAGCACGUAGAUGAGUAGUGACUGGUUUUCCAGAAGUGGCUGGCUGCAGAGACUGACAAUCAAGGCAGGCAGGAUGGGGACUGAUUACCCAGAAUGCCUCCAGUUAACAAGAGUGGGAACCAAUAGCAUUGCAGGGGAUUCAUUCCUUCUCUGUUCUUAAACAAGGCAGCGCUAGUAAUAGCUAUCUCUCUCCAGCAGUAGAGGUGCCUGUUUGUGAGGUUAAGAAACUUGUCUAAUUGCACAUUACUAACAAGGAAAGGCCGAGGCUAGAAGAGCCUCAGUUGCUCUGUCCAUACAGGUCCAGGAUGGCCUGGGUCAAAAAUGGUAUUUCUCAAGGGUCAGCCUGAAAACUCCCAUGGUUGCAAAAAUGAAGGAUUUGGCUGAGGAAUGCAAUAGACCAGAAGGCACUGGUAGGUCUGCCGUGUGGCAGAGACUGAUACAUAGACAAAGACCACUCUAGGAGGAAAGGCUCUCUUCUUCCUGCACUCUGUUCUGGGGUACAGAGCUGGGAGACUGCUCUUAGAUGCCAUCUAUCUUUAGGCCAUGGUCAAGAUGCUUCAGCAACUGUCCAAACCGCAAUAUAGUUAGCCGGCUAAGAAAAGGGUAAAAAGUGGAAGGCAGAAGGCAGGAUAGCAGGUGGGGGGCAGGUAAGGGCAACGGCUGCCCUUGGGCAAAA